rnacentral:lncRNA from 1 species
CCGCGCCUCCGGCUGGGGCUCCGAGUCGGGCUUCGAGAGGGACAGCGGAGGCCCUCCGCCGAGGGACGGUCGGCGCCAACCGAGGUUCCUGAGCAAAAGAGAAAAGGAGGUUUGACCAUGAGGCUUGGAGAAGGGAGAAGGGCUGGGGAGUACGGCAAGCAUCAAAUUGGAUAUUUCUCUGGAAACACUGACAGUCUGAAUUCCCUCAAUCUGUGUCUCAAUCCCAAACUGAAAGGACCAUCUUCCUGAGGCUCUUGGUGAUGCUGACGCUACCAGUUUGAGGACCACACUUUGAGAAACAAGGUUCUAGACUUUGACCUUCACUGCACAGGCUUACAAGACUGGUAAGUCUGAUUAAGAGAUCUUUUAGGAAUAGACUCAUAUUAACUAAGCUUACAAGCUUGCUGUAGAAAUCUAGAAAUCUAAUUUGUUAAUAUGUUAAUGAGAAAAAUGAAAUGUACGGACCCAUAAUCAUCUGCUGUUCCUAAGACAUGCCACCUGAGACGCCAAAUUAGAGCGCAGGAUAAGAAUGGACAGGAGACUGUAAAAGAUUGUUGUGUGUAUAGUUGGUUCAAAGAUUUCAGGCUAAUAGAGAUUUUCUAGCUGUCACUGCACUGGAGUGGUGGUUUUAAAAUGUACCUGGGAUUU